CGCAGCAACGCCGCGUGAGGGAUGACGGCCUUCGGGUUGUAAACCUCUUUCAGCAGGGANGAAGCGAAAGUGACUGUACCUGCAGAAGAAGCGCCGGCUAAAUACGUGCCAGCAGCCGCGGUAAUACGUAGGGGGCAAGCGUUGUCCGGAUUUAUUGGGCGUAAAGAGUUCGUAGGCGGUCUGUCGCGUCGGAAGUGAAAUCCCGGAGCUCAACUCCGGGCCUGCUUUCGAUACGGGCAGACUUGAGUGCUGCAGGGGAGACUGGAAUUCCUGGUGUAGCGGUGGAAUGCGCAGAUAUCAGGAAGAACACCCGUGGCGAAGGCGGGUCUCUGGGCAACAACUGACGCUGAGGAACGAAAGCGUGGGGAGCAAACAGGAUUAGAUACCCUGGUAGUCCACGCCGUAAACGGUGGGCACUAGGUGUGGGGACCAUUCCACGGUCUCGCGCCGCAGCUAACGCAUUAAGGCCCCGC
rnacentral:rRNA from 1 species